rnacentral:ncRNA from 1 species
AUAAUGAGACUUUCGUAGAAGUACGACUCGGUGCGAACCACGGAGAGGCUAGUUACCUAUGA